AGUGAACGCUGGCGGCAGGCCUAACACAUGCAAGUCGAACGGCAGCACAGUAAGAGCUUGCUCUUACGGGUGGCGAGUGGCGGACGAGUGAGGAAUACAUCGGCAUCUACUUUUUCGUGGGGGAUAACGUGGGGAAACUUACGCUAAUACCGCAUACGACCUACGGGUGAAAGCAGGGGAUCUUCGGACCUUGCGCGAUUGAUUGAGCCGAUGUCGGAUUAGCUAGUUGGCGGGGUAAAGGCCCACCAAGGCGACGAUCCGUAGCUGGUCUGAGAGGAUGAUCAGCCACACUGGAACUGAGACACGGUCCAGACUCCUACGGGAGGCAGCAGUGGGGAAUAUUGGACAAUGGGCGCAAGCCUGAUCCAGCCAUACCGCGUGGGUGAAGAAGGCCUUCGGGUUGUAAAGCCCUUUUGUUGGGAAAGAAAAGCAGCAGGUUAAUACCCCGCUGUUCUGACGGUACCCAAAGAAUAAGCACCGGCUAACUUCGUG
rnacentral:rRNA from 1 species